GAGAGACCGAGCCAUUAGCGG
rnacentral:misc_RNA from 1 species